GAGCAGGAAGCUGCCUGAGCUGCCAGAAGCCACUGUGCUGCUGAGGCUGUCCGUGGAUGAUUUCACAGGAAGGAAGAAGAGCCUCACUCACCAUGUGGAGAACAACUUGCAGCUCCUACCCCUGCACGGACAUGGCCACGCAGAGGGAAAGAAAGGGCUGAGCCACACUGAUAAACUCGGAAGUAAACAAGACAAGAGAUGAGCUUGGCUGGAGGCAGCAGAACUGCAGGAGCCCGAGACACACACCAGUGACAACACACAGCCACCUAGAACUUGGUGAAAGUACAGCAGUGUCAGGAGCCCGAGGUUAGGAGGUUGUUUGUUCCAGGAAGGGGAAAACAUUGUUUCACAGCAAACGUGGGUCCCCGAUGGCAAACAGCAGCCACCAGCUGGGAGAUCAUUCCAAGUGAAAGGGAAAGUGUUUUGAACAGGAUCUAUCACCAGGAGGUGAACACAGCAACAGACCGAUGUGAGCCACCAUGAGCACCUGUAAACUCAAAGUGUACCUGUGCCUGAGCAAGAGAACCUGACACCAGAAACCACCAAAGGAUUACAUCUAUAGCUCUACACAGUUAUUGGUACUGAAAUGUGCAAGUGAUGUUACACAUGAAAGCAGGAUCUUGAACAUCAGUUGGACAUAGCUGUAGAGACCUGUCUGCCUGCUGUGCUAGUAAGAGCCCACUGAGAAAGUAAAAAUAGAGGAGCUGUACUUCAAGAGGAAAAUAAUCAUCCUGAUUGUCUUGAUUAUUGACCCUUCAAGAGAACCAAGUCAGAGGGAAAAUAAAGUAAAAAAAAAAAAAAACAAAAAACCAAAAAACCAGCACCUAACUCUGGAUCCAAAGAUAUGAAUGCUUUUACAGAAGCAUCUGUGAGCGGAGCAGUAAAAGACAUCUCAGUUGCAGGUCCUGUAUUUCUCUACAACAGUCUUUGCCAAAUUGUCCCUCUAAGGAAAGACAUUUUAUGCAAAACCAUUGAGAACAGUAGCAUAAAAUAAAGUUCCCUUUAUUUUGAAACUUU